AACUUUCAACAACGGAUCUCUUGGCUCUCACAUCGAUGAAGAACGCAGCGAAAUGCGAUAAGUAAUGUGAAUUGCAGAAUUCAGUGAAUCAUCGAAUCUUUGAACGCAAAUUGCGCCCUUUGGUAUUCCGAAGGGCAUGCCUGUUUGAGUGUC
rnacentral:rRNA from 1 species